rnacentral:misc_RNA from 1 species
GUUCUUUUCUGUUGAUCCUUUGCGAUUCAUCACACAAGUUACAGGGACCGAGAACUUCCAACAUCAACCAAGGGGAAACACCAUUCUUUAGUUAAGGGGUAAACAAAACUAAGAUAUGGUCCGAUGAUAGCGAAAAAUGGAGUGAGCUUGCUCAAGGAAAGAACCACACUUUGAUGAAGAUUGCCAAAGCCAUUUGCAAGAAAAAUGCAGCAACUAUCAGAACCGAAAGAUCAUUCCCCUCAAUAUACGACCUCAGGUUCAAAGCAACAAAACUUGCUGAGGCAGCACCAGAAAGGAGAAUAAUGAACCAUCGCAGAAUUUCAACCGGGAUGAGCAACAGAAAAGAUGCCAGAAUAAAAAUGAACAGAGAGUAUCCCCACAAGCACCAAAAUCUUAUGAGGCUAGAAUUUGACCCCAAGUACUGAAGUGAAAAGUAAAAUGCCAUGGGCACCACAAUCGCAUAGCCAUAGACAGACCCAGCAGCCACAUUCAUAUAGCUGACAUCAAAACUCCACGCAGCACCGUGAUCACUUCGUCUUUGCAUGAGGAAGGUCGCACAGUUUCCUAGUGCCGCAAGGACAAAUACCAAUGUAGUGGUGAUCCACACGAGCCCAUAUAGAUCAGGAUUUGCAUCGAUCUUGCUGGAAAAGUCUCCACCCAUGGGAUACAAGGAACUAAUCAAUCUAUUCAUGACAAUGUCCGUAUCCACAUUGAAAUAUUGAGUGUAAGAUGAUACACUAAACACCCCCUUCCAGUCAUUUGAUGGUUGCUGCUGAGAAUCACUUGGACUUUCAAGAGUUUGAUAACCUCUCCCUCUGUCCCCUCCAUUAGUUGGGGGGAACGUCUGCAUACUUGCUUCUGG